UACAUAUAUAUUGCUACAGAUCUGUUAAAGGAAUAUGGAUUAAUACAACCUAAUCUCUUUGCAUGAAUAUUGGUAUUAUUAUUAAUAAUUUAUUAAUUUGUUCAUUUUGAAAAUUUGACAUGAAAACACAUAAGUUGGACAAAAGCUGUACAUUUUGUAGGGGUAUAUGGUAAAACUGGAACAGAGGAGGAGGAGGAGGAGAAGGAGGGAUGAAUUUCCUAUUUGAGGCAGGUCGGUGGGGGGAUGGGACUAUUUGUAAGGAAUGCGGGAGGGGGCAGGUCUCGUUGAGUGAGAAAAGGAAGGGAAAGAAGGAGGGAAGGAGGGAACAUCCCACCCAGAGUGACAUUUUUACUCCUUGGUCGGUGUAUCUACAAGGUUAGGGGCAGUUGAACUUCUACUUUCAUCUCAUCUAAUCAGUUAAAAGACCGAGUGAGAAGUUUGGCCAUUGUUGGAAUGUUGCAUGCACAAAGUGUUUCCUGCAGACUAUUAGGGGUUUCGAGGUGGUGGGCUACAACUGUAACAUUGGUUUGGUUUGAAUUAAAGCACCCGACGAUGGUUUAAAUUACAGACUUCAUACUUCCCACAUAACAUCAUGCAUAUGGAGAUGUACACGCAGGCUCCUUUUAGCCAUCAAGUGCAUGUUUAAUCAUCUUCACCAAGAAAUGAUUUGUUUCUUAGCUGUUUCACUGAAAACAGGAAAUGAACAUUUUUCUGACAGUAGGCCUGGCGUUAUAGUCUAUUCUAUAGAGUAUAUUUGGUUUUCUAUUGGUUCUUUUUUAUGUAUCCUGGCAACAGCAGACCUACCCCAUACCCUAGCCCACCCCUAUUUCCCCCCACUUCUCCUAUUCCUCAUCCCCCUCCGCUUCCUUCCUCUCUUGCGGUGGUCUCGGGGACUCCCAAGGCAGCACGUUAGCGAGUGCACAUACAAUCAAAUAAAGCCAAAUGUGAAUAAACAACCUCACUUGCUCCAUUGGUUAAUCCAGCUCAUUGUGACGUGUUAAUUAUAAAAUAAUUAACAUGAUGACAUGAUCAAUUAGGCUCCCUGCCUUUUUUUCCCCCUUCUUCACUAAAUGGCGAUGUGGGCCACAGUCACACUCUGAUCUAUCAUUAUGCACCUUCUAAGCUAUAAAUUGUGAGAUUUAUCAAUCAACAUUGCGGUUACUUUCUUGGUUACAAUGGUGGUGAAAUGGGGCGUGUUUUCUGUCCAUUUAACCUGACGUCACGACUAGAAUUAAGGAAAAUUCAUGGAGGAAAAAAAAAAUCCUUGUGUGGCUCAAGGCGCAUGCGCAGCACACUCACUUAGGAAACACGGGGCCUUUGCGACACCUUUUCCUGCUCUUCAUGAUCAAGGAUCGACUUUGAUAGAAAGCCAAAUGCGUUGGUUUCAUUGAUGCCAUUCAUAUUUAUGAAUACGGCUCAUGUCUCCGUUUCCACCAGAAUUCAUUACAGGCCUCUAUGGUGAAAGAAGGGCUCGUUCUUCUUGAAAAAAAAAAAAUCAGCAAUACUUGGCAUAGGACAUGUACGAUCAUGCAUGUCACUUCAAGGUGAAAUCCCCCAAGAGAGGGGAGAAAAAAACAAAAAACUAUUCUGUUGGAGCAUGUCAUUUGCUCGCAGGCACACGUUGGUAUGUGAGGAAUUAAAGAGUUUCCCGACGACAGAGUAAAACAUAUGUGCUUUAGUCAUUUGGCCUGCCUUGUUGCUAUGUAUCAAGAAGGUGAAUCAGGAUCCAGUGGUUUUGGAUGGAGUGCUUGCUGAUCUCACGUGCUCUGCAGCAUUUUAAACUACACUGAAAUGAGGAAAUGAGUGGAUGUCAUAUGGGCUAAUUGUAUUUUAGGGCUGCUUCAGCAAAGGUUUGGUUUAUCACUAAUGGCAAUAAUAAAAUAUAUGUUGUAAUGAAUUGGACAGAACAUUAUGUAUGUUUAGCAGGAUUUCAUUUUGAGGAAAUUUCUAAGUGGUGCAACACCAUGUAUUAUCAUCUGCAUUUGAUUUCGACACAUUCCAUUUUCUUUAUUAAAUACCACGAUCAAAUGUUAUACAGGCUGAUGUCAAAUGGUCAUUACUAAUUAUGAGAAAUUAUACUUUUACAUUGUAAUACAAAUUAUACAAGAAAUGGAGCUAUAUAUUGAGCAUAUGCUUUAAAAUGUUUAUAAUGGAUUUACAAUAUGAAAUCCACCUUGCAGGCGAGACCCUAUCAAUAUUGCCUCUGCUUUUUUAAAUGUAAAUGUAGUAGUGCAAUAUUGCUUAUAGGGUCUUGACUUUAAGGGUUAUCUACAAUACCAUGUGUACGUCAUUUGACCGCUUUUAUUUAGUUUUUGGUAAAAAUUUAAGAAAGUGCAGUAAUGGUAUAACUGAUAAUCUGCAGAUAUGACUGAUGUGCCAUCAAGAAUUUAUUAAAGUAAUUUAUUAUCUACCAUUUGUUUAAUAAUAUAAAUUUAUAGAAAUGCGGCCCUGAGUUUCAUAGAUAAAGAAACAAUAUAAUAAUAUUUUACAUUUAAUCUGGCUGAAUUAUAUCAUUAUUUAAUUACAGAAUUUUGAAUUUUUUUUUUUAAACUCAAGUUUUAAAAAUCCAAAUGGGUAACUUUAAUUGUAAUCUUAACAAAACAUCAAUAAUAUUUGACCAUUGGAUGUAUUUUUGGAUUAAAAACUAGAUCAUUUGAUCUGAUUCGUAAAUAAAUCUGUAAAUAAAUCUAGAAAGAUUGUCUGUUGGGGUUUGUUUGUGUUACAGCAUGACGGUGCUUCAUUGAUCCCCAAGGAUUAUUGCUGAAACAGUAAACAUUCAAUCAAAAAUAAAUGCUAAAUAAAAGGUUCUGUUACAUUUUUCCAAUGAUGGUUUGUUAUAUCUGCAAACAUUGAACUCAUUACAGAAAGUGUGUUUUAAAAACACAUGACCCUGGAGGCAUGUUGGUACACUGAUUUGAUGUUUUCCCACCAUUUAAUCAUGACAAUCAAGUGAAAUGAUUAUAUAAAGUAUUUAUUUAGACAAAUCCAGACAUGCUGUGGAUGGACGUUUAUCUUUCAGAGAAGCAUGAAAUAAAGCACAUAUGGAUCCAUUACCAUAUCUCUGUGGGUUUAAACUUAUUUCAGACCUCAUGUUAAAAUAAAUACACAUUAAUACAUUUUUUUAAUUAUAGUGACUGCCAUGUGGAGUAGGUAAUAUAUGGCUAUUAUUUAGCUGUUUUGGUUACCAACCACUCAUCUUAUGCUAGCAUUUAAUUAAUAGCAAUGAUAACUUCUAUUGCCUGUCUAUUUCUGACAAAAAGAACAAAAAUUGUGUGUGUGUGUGUGUGUGUGUGUGUGUGUGUGUGUGUGUGUGUGUGUGUAUGAGUAUGAGUAUGUCUGGAUUAGCUGCUGUAUCCACUGGCUGUUAGCCGUCUGUUGCCUGACACUCUUUCUCUGUUGCACUACUGUGGGAGAUGCAGCUAGCAGUGCAAUAAUGAAAGGGCAUCAGUCCACUAGACUAAAAAACACACAUACAAACACAUACCUACCUACCUAUCUAUAUAAUGUCCUGCAAUGUGUUUGUUUUACACUGAUGUUGCUGAUCAGCACACACAACUCAUAAACACUAGUUUACCCACAAUUAUGUAAAAUGUGUGUGCUUCUUCUUUGCGUAUUUUAUGCUGUAAAAUCUGAUAUAAAUAAAUGGUGAAAUAAUUGA